AUUGAGUUUAAAGAGUCGGACGGAGCGGUCGUGGAGCUGGUGAAUGUGACGUUGAAUCGUCCAGGAAGCAGCAAGGUGUUGUUAGAGAAUGUCACCUUCAAAGUGGACAAAUCG
rnacentral:ribozyme from 1 species